GUGAGACCCUGCUUGGCAUUUGUUUGGCAGCCUCUCCCAGCUCGGUGGUAGUAAUUUCUAGAUUCCAUUUCUGUUGGGUCCUGACAUGAUCGGUCCUACUCUUGAUGCUAAGAACAGAAUUCACAAUAAAGGCAGUUUCUCUCGUGUCCCUUCCUCGGACACAUACUGCCCAGACUCCCUGGAGCUGGUACAAACCCCGAGAUCCCCUAGGGCCCGGAUGUCCAUGCUGUAGGGGCUCCCCAGGCACACCGAGGAUCCCAGGUGUGUAUUCCUGCAAAAAAAGGAGACAGCCCGUGUGGGUCUGUGUGUUGGGCUCACCUGCCAGAAAUCUGUUCCUUUUCUUUAUACAAGACAUUUCUUGUUUCUCACAUGGGCACCUUGGACGCCACCCCCUCUUACAGGGGUGAGCUGUCUGUGCUUUGCCAGCCAGGGAUGUGUAGCACCAGAAAGGUCACCAGCUCUGGCCCUUCUAUACCCUGCUCUCCUCCUUGCUUCUUGGGGGUCUAUUUCUCUCUCUCUUUCCACUUUGUAUUUCUUUUCUUCCUUCUCCUCUGCUUUCCCACUUCCAUGCCCAUGUCUCACACGUUGGUUUCCAUACCUACCCCCCCCCCCAUGCCGACACCUCACCCCCACCAGUCUCCCUGGGGCCUGGAAAAGCUCCCAGCUUGCCUGCAACCCAGGCCCACCCCACGAAGGCUCUUCAAAGAUCCCAUCCUGGUGUGGGCUUGGAGCUGAGCUGUCACAUGCCACCUCCUGCAUUGAAAGUCCCCUGCUGGAGGCAUUUCCAGGGCUACCUGGGCUCUCCUGGCCCCUGCAGGGUGUACAGAGGCUCCCCCUGCCUGGCCACCCCCAGCUGGGGACUUCUGAGGCUCCCUGCACUGGCUCAGUGUGUGAGCUCCCCUGGCAGUGGGACUACCCACUGGGGCAAAGGGCCUCAGGGGCCCGGGAGACCCAGAUUAGCAUUUUAAAGAAAGGUCAGCAAGAAAGGAUUUCCCAGACCUGCUGGGAGCAGACUGGAGGCUGGCAGGAAAGUUCAGCGCCCCAGCCCGCCCCCCUCCCCUCAACAGGCCCGUGUGCUGGCAUUUGAGAGGAUCUGAGCAGGCAGAAAGGGCACCAGAUAAGGAUUCGGACUUCAGCUCAGUCACUGGCCAGCAAAGGAGGCGGUGGGCAGGUGACUUCACGUCUCCAAGCUGCAGCUUCCUCCCUGUAAAGAGUCUCACCAAAAAAACCCUGUAAAGUGUCUUCCCUUCCAGAACGGUGAUGGCCCAGGAAGGGGGC
rnacentral:lncRNA from 1 species